rnacentral:lncRNA from 1 species
UGUAUGUCUAUGCCCUUCUUAAUGAAGGAAACUAUUACUUAGGCAUACAUAUGUGCAUAAACAUUGCUGCUAAUAGAUACCAGAUAGAAUAUAAGCAGGAGAAAAGAUAAUAAAAUUAAUAUAUAUUUAUGCACUGACAUGAAACUCAGUCACUUACUGGUUUUUAGGAGAAUAAUUUAAUGAUUUUAAAUUACCUUUGAAAUCUUAAUAUAAUUUACAAAGUUGUAAAUGGAGACAGAAUACAAAACUAUUUAUUUAAAUACUGAAAAAUUUAGAAACAAAAUUAUGAAUCUAGAAAUAUAUGCCCCUCUAAUAGAAUUAUGAACACAGUAAUGGAAAUUGGAAACAUCAUUUUCUGAUUGCCAACUGCUACCCAAUUCCUUCUUUAAAAAAAAAAAAAAAAAUCUUAGACUGGGGAGGUGGCUCAGUCAGUAAUGUGCCUGUUCCACAAGCAUGAGGACUUGGGGUCAGACUUCUAGCACCCGACUAAAAACACGUGUGUAACUCCAGUGUUGUAGGAGAGGGACACAGACAUGACUAUGUCCUGAAGGUUCUAUUGUCUUGGGAAGUAGAUCACUACUUGGGCAGGUGUUCACAUACAAGAGCCUACAAGGGACAUGUCUCAUUCGUACCAAAACAUCAGGGAAACCCAUGGACCAGUUGGAGAACAUAGAGCAGUGUCAUUUUGAUCUGUGGGCACUUGCAGACGUAAGCACUGAAGAGACGCAGGAUUCUUCUCUGUGACUUCAACAUCAAGUCCAUGGGUUCACUUUAUGGUUUCUUUUUCUUUCUUUUUUUUUUUUAACCAUCUUUUCGAUUGUUUUUAUGUUAAGAUUUGUUACAGACCAUAUUACAGACUUGGAAUUAUGUAUUCUGUGUGUUAGGGUUGAAAAUCUAAAAUCCUUUUAGGCAAUUACUAGAAUCUGGAAAUAACAACUCCCAGUCAUUACAUAUGGUUAUGUAACUUGAAUGUGUCUCGUAUUUUAAUUGAAUGGAGAAUUUCCUUGAGAACUGUUUAAAUAAAGUUGUAGGAUGUUAGCAAAUAGCUGUGUUAUAAACUGUUGCUUCUUUUUGUAGAUAUUGAUAAAGCUAUUAAUUGUAUGAUUCUGCAUCUGUUUGUGUGGGGUGUUUUUUAGUGCAGAGUCAUGUGGUCAUAGACUCCACUGUAUCUGAUAGUGUUUAUCUCCAUUCCAGGCGAAAGGUUGAAAUUAUGCAUACCCAUAGUCUCUUCACUCUUCUUGGAGAAAGGCUGAUGCUGCAUACAAACACUGUGACUGUCACUACAUACAACACACUUUAUGAGGUAAAGUAACAACAACAACAACCUGACAGAAAUUCUUAGUGUAUGUGCUGGAAACCUCCUGUUUACAUGAUGGGGAUCACCUCCUACACCAGUUAGUGUCUCUGUCACUACAGAUACGGAUGAAUACUGAGCUGGUUAGCUUUUGUCAACUUGACACAAACCUAGACAUAUCUGGGGAAAGAGCAUCUUACUGAGGACAUGCCUAAGAUUGUGCUGUGGGAGGUGCGUUCUUGAUUAGUGAUUGAUAUGGAAGUUUCUAGGCCACUGUGGGCAGUGCCACCCCCUGGCCAGAUAGUUCUGUGUAAUGACAAUUUGGGAAUGUUAGUUUCUUAAAAAAACACAGAAAUAUUAUAAGACUAUGUUAUUUAACCCCAUGUGUAGGGUAUGGGGCUAUUUCAGAUUGUCCACAGCCGCUGACUGAUUUCCCUGGAGCAGGGCAUGGUAUUGGCAACAGCAGAUAGUUUAUGUGAUUAUGUAAGUUUAGAAUUCUGGAGACUUUCAGAGGGUGUGUAAAUGCUAGGCUCCUGAGGAGCAUGGGAGGCUGUUGGUUGGUGGGCUGUUGGUUGGUGGGCUGUUGGUUGUUGCUUGCCAAGGUUUGUUAAGUAACCAUGC